CUGCCUACGGGAGGCAGCAGUGAGGAAUAUUGGUCAAUGGGCGGGAGCCUGAACCAGCCAAGUCGCGUGAAGGAAGAAGGUACUUAGUAUUGUAAACUUCUUUUGUCGGGGAACAAAGGCGGAGACGCGUCUCCGGAUGAGUGUACCCGAAGAAAAAGCAUCGGCUAACUCCGUGCCAGCAGCCGCGGUAAUACGGAGGAUGCGAGCGUUAUCCGGAUUUAUUGGGUUUAAAGGGUGCGUAGGCGGGACGGUAAGUCAGCGGUAAAAAUGCGGAGCUCAACUCCGUCCAGCCGUUGAAACUGCCG
rnacentral:rRNA from 1 species